CGCACAUUGCGCCCUUUGGUAUUCCGAAGGGCAUGCCUGUUCGAGCGUCAUUAUCACCCCUCGAGCCCCUGUGGCUUGGCUUUGGACGGCCUGGUCAGGCGACUGACCCCUCCUAAAGACAAUGACGGCGGCCUCGCAGGACCCCCGGUACACUGAGCUUCUUAACUGAGCACGUAUCGGAUCGAGGGUUCUCGGGGCACGGUCUCCUUUCCCCCCUCCCCUCCCCGGGGCGGUGGGAAAACAAAUCUUUCUCAGGUUGACCUCGGAUCAGGUAGGGAUACCCGCUGAACUUAA
rnacentral:misc_RNA from 1 species